AUAGACAUCUUAAAUCAUUAGUUGACGUUGUUAGCAAAAUGUUUCAUAUCUAGGACGGUAAAAUUAUAAACCGUGCAAUAAUCUACGGUUGCAUAAAUCUCUAUCCGGUUUAUUGUUGCCUUUUUAAUGUUCAUCGAUCAUUAACGUGGUCGCGAGAAGUGUAAUUUCUGCAACAGGCUUGUUCAACAAUUAUUACUGUGCGAAUGUUGACGAUAGGAAAGUCUCAUCAUUAUUCUACCAAUCAAACAAACGUCUCAGAGACAGACGUCCGAGUGUGCUUUAUAUAUUAUUCUCGUUCAAUUCUGGUCUUCAUCAACUUCAUGAUAGUGAUUUACAAGUUCUAGUUCAGUAGAGCAAAUAAAGUGACCUGGUGGAAAUUUCCUGCCGUAAUUUUAAUCGGUGAUCGUCCAGUGCGAAACAUCAAGCAAAUAUGAUACCGCGUGAUGAUGCGAUUAAAGUCACGUAUAUUGUGACGACAUUUUAUACGUGAAAAUAUGCUGCAUCUUUUAUCCCAAAGAUAAAGUAUGAUUAACAAAAUAGAAAGGAAAUUUUGUACUUACAUACAUUUACUAUAUUUUAUUUUUUAUUUACUGUUUAUUAUUCAUAUUCUACUAAAAGAUUAUCUCUUCACUCAAUAAGCACAGACAACCUAAAAUGGUUGGAUAUUACUGCUUGAUAUUAUCAUGCUUAAUUCUAAUAGACACACUUUUCGUAACAAUAACAGUAACAUUAACGUAAAAAUCUACAAGAUACAAAAUUCCAUAACUGCGUUAUAAGUUACAGAAGUAAAU